rnacentral:ncRNA from 1 species
GCGAAGUUUUAUUCUUGCUUUUUCAUUCAGUGUUUGUUUGUUCUAUAUGUAAGUUUGUGCAUGAUUUUACCGUGGUUCUAGAUGGAUUAUGGAUAGUGUAGUUGAUUCUCGUUAGUUAUUAUUGGUUGUUCAAGUAUUCUUGUAUUUAGCAAUAUGUUUAAGUCUCGGUUAAAUUUUGUGCCAGCAGCCGCGGUUAUACCUUGGAGGCAUUUGAAUGUGUUUGGCGUUAGGUAGUUGUAUUGUUUAGUUUAAUUGAUUUUAUUUUGUUUGUUGUUAGGUGAAAUUUUUAUUGUUUUUAAUUUUCUUGUUUUAUAUUUGGAGGCUAUGAAAUUCUUUGUGUAGACUAGGAUUAGAUACCCUAUUAUUUUAGAAUGUUAAUUGUUUUUUGUGCCUGAGUAGUAUUAGUUAUGUUCUUGAAACUUAAAGAAUUUGGCGGUAUCUCAUUCCGUCCAGAGGAAUCUGUCUCGUUAUCGAUAGUCCACGUUGGACCUUACUUAGUUGCUUUGGUUUGUAUACCGCCGUUUAUUGAUUAUCCUUUUAGGGUUAUUUAAUUUUCUGGUUUCUUUAUUUUGAGUUAUUUCAGGUCAAGGUGCAGCUUGUUUCUAAGUGAAUGAUGGAUUACAUUGGUAUUUGUUUAUGGAUUAUUGAUUUUAAUAUUGGUAUGAAAUUGGAUUUGGUUGUAAUAAUUUGUAGAUUGUUAUUGUGAUAAAUGGUUCUGGGAUAUGUACACAUCGCCCGUCGCUCUCGUUUUAUUGUUAAUGAGAUAAGUCGUAACAAAGUGGUUGUACCGGAAGGUGCGGCUGGAUUGUA